UGCAGUUAAACCAAUGGUUGACAACAAAGCUCCCAGAACGUUUACACACUGUCACAUGAAAAUGAAGAAAAUGCAGAUGGAGCAAGAGCGUCUGAUGGAGGUGGAGAGGGACAACAGACUGCUGGUGUCCAGAAUUGCCCGCACCAUGGCCAAAGGAGGCCUGGACAACUGGAACGAGUCCUAUGAGGUCUAUUCAAAGAACUGGUCUGUCCCCCGCAUCUUCAUCAAACACAUAUUAAAUAUAAUGUAAAUAUUACAGACAGGCACACUUUGACGUCAGCCGCUCCUCUGGAACCAUUUUUACGUGGCUGAGCUUUGCUCUUAAAGGUUAAAACAAACAUGCAGAUAGAAGACAAUUCAAGCAUCAAUACGCCACAUGCACCUACUAGUGGAUUAUGGCGCUCUAAUUUGCAUUAAGAAAAAGGUUUAUGGCACAAACAUUUUCACAGUUUUCUCUCUCUCUCUCUCCAUUUCUUGAAUAAGUCUUAAGUCUUAAGUUUUCAAGACAAAAAAAAAUCUCUACUCACGAAACCAUUCAUGUUCUUGGUGUGUUCCAAUUAACCCCAUAUUGAACAGCUUUUUGUACUGUGAGUAUUAAUAACAACCAGACAUGGUUUUAAAAUAUCUGGACCCGUGCGUGCAUUCCUGUUGGCUGGAGCUGGUUGAAACUGCUGUCCUGAAAUGCAUCUGGUGAACUGUAUCCAUCAUUUCCUGUAGUAGGAGUGAAGAUGUGAGGAACCGAGAGCUGGUGAAGAUUUCCCUGGAGAACCAGGCUAUCCUCAACAAGAUCAACAUGACCAAGCCUGUGUACGACCACAAGCAAUGGCUGAAUGACUUCAAAGUGACAAGAGAAUAUAUGAAACGUCUGAUAAAGUAGCCACAAACAGACACAACCAAGGUGAUGCAUCAUAACGUAAAAACACUGUCAGGUGGAUACUUAGUAUAAAUAACAAGAACCUUGCAUUUAUCAGUGUUUCGAUGUUUCAGUAUUACGGUUGUCAUGAAUGAAUCACCACACUUAUGAUCAAAGAAACCAAGCCUUCAAAACUGUCUUUUUGUCUUCUUCACAGGUGCCCGCUUUGAACCUGAUUAAUUGACCAACAUCAACUCCAACACUGCAGUUUAUCCACCAGCUAUUUUAUUGUAUAGUUUUGUAUGGUGUAAUUCAAAAGCAAAUAAUGCCAAAUCAAUAAAAUGCAACAGUGUUUACUA